UUAUUACAUUUUUUACGCCCAGACGGAGACACCACACGCACACACACACUCUCUCUCUCUCAGCCCUUUUCUUUCCUUUGACAGGCUCUCUCUAUCUCUUCUCUCUCUCUCUCCCCCCAAAAAACCCUACCCAUCUACCGACGGUGACAGCGAUGGCGAUGGCGAUCUUCUCCAUCGUCCUGCCAACAGCGGCGAACAACGAUCUACACUUCUCCUCUACUUUCCUUUUCUUCUCCUCAAUCUGUUCUGUUUUGUUCCAGUUCAAAGGCGAUCUAAUCUGUUCUAUUCUUUUUUUUUUAAAAGAAAUUUAUUUUCUUUUUGUUUUGUUCCAGUUCGAAGAUGAAAAUGAAAACCUAUGUUUUCUUUUCUUCUUUCCUCUUCUUCUCCUCAAUCUGUAAUCUUUUUUUUUUUUUUUUCCAGUUCGAAAACCUCUCUUUUAGAGUCUAAUAUGUUUUUUUUUUUUGUUCCAAUUCUAAAACUAGAGAGGUGGUGACAUUCACAGUGUGAGGGUUCUACACACAAAGAGAGGAAGCUUACAGAGAGCAAGCUUAUAGAGAGAAAACCAGAGAGAUUCAUGAAUUGCAAUCAAGUGGAGAUUUGCAAACAAUCACAAAAAAUUAAAGGAACAGCAGUGGUGGCAUUUCAACUCGUAGUUCACUUGCUCUCAAGAUGGUGGAGGUUCUUGCUUGUAUACAAAAUUGGCUCCGAAAUAACAUUCUAAUAUGCCUUCGACAAGCAAUGGAUGAUGUUGAAGAAUUUGAACAACAAUAUGAUUCGGUUGUUUCGGAAUCAAGUUCAUGUUCAAGCACAAGCUCAAGCCCAAGCCCAAGCCCAAGUCCAAGUCCAAGUCCAAGUCCAAGUCCAAGUCCGGAGAGUAAUUUUAUUGAAGUUUAAUAUCAUUGGUAAAUACUUCCCUUUUGUUAAAUGUUGUUCACAUAUGGUUACUUGUUUUGAGUUUAAGACUUUUUGGUGUUUUCCUUAUUAAAUAAUUUUAUUUUUUUGUUAUGCAGGUUUAGAUGGCUCAUGGUUUGGCUCAAGGAAAUGAAUUGUUUUUUUACUUCUUUUUGGAUGACUGUAAUACUAUUGUUUGGAUGCACAAUGUUUGAUAGAUGCACAAUGUUUUGGAUGACUGUAAUUUUUUUUAUUUUUUUGAACUCUUGUUUUGGAUGACUUAAAUUUGUUGGACUAUGCCCACUGCCCAGGUUAUUUUCAUAACACAUAGAUGUGAUUGUGAAUAUUUUCAUAACUCUUGUUUUGGAUGACUUUAAUUUGUUGAAUUAUGCCCACUGCCCAGGUUAUUUUCAUAACACACAGAUGUUAUUUUCAUAACACACAGAUGUGAUUGUCAAUAUUUUCAUAACUCUUGUUUUGGAUGACUUUAACUUGUUGGAUUAUGCCCCCUGCCCAGGUUAUUUUCAUAACACAGAUGUUAUUUUUAUAACACAGAUGUGAUUGCGAAUAUUUUCAUAACUCUUAUUUUGGAUGACUUUAAUUUGUUGGAUUGUGCCCACCUAUGAAGCACGGACACGGACACGGACACGGGACACGGCAAUUUCUAAAAAAUGAGAACACGGACAUGGCAGGGGACACGGCAAAUUUUUAAAUUUUUUUAUAAAUAUUUUUAUUUUAA